AGCGUCAUUACACCACUCAAGCCUGGCUUGCAAUUGGGCGCCGCGGCCUCCCCCGCGCGCCCUCAUGUCUCCGGCUGAGCCGUCCGUCUCGAAGCGUUGUGGCUUUCACGAGUUUCGCUUGCGAGAUCGGCGCGGUUCGUCGCCGUUAAACCUCCAUCAAGGUUGACCUCGGAUCAGGUAGGGAUACCCGCUGAACUUAA
rnacentral:misc_RNA from 1 species